GGGAAUCCUUAUGGCCGAAUAUCCAAGGUUUCCAGAGUAAAGCUGAUCUGCUCUGGGUAAGUCGGGGCCUAAGGCGAGGACGAGAGUCGUAGCCGAUGGACAACAGGUGGAGAUUCCUGUACUGCGGUAUGACAGAACUGUGGGGACACGUAAGGAAAGCGGAAGCCGGGAAUGGAAAGCCCGGUGCAAGCGGGGUACCAGUCACUUUGGCAAAUCCGGGUGGCAAUGGGAAGCCGUGAUGCGGAGUGUAAUAAAGUAGCGAAGUCCGUGAGCCAUGCGACAAGAAAAGCCGCUAUCGUUCAUACCGUACCCGUACCGUAAACCGACACAGGUGGAUGAGGAGAGAAUCCUAAGGCCGGCGGAAGAAGCAUUGUCAAGGAACUCGGCAAAAUGGCCCCGUAACUUAGGGAUAAGGGGUGCCUGGGAAACCAGGCCGCAGAGAAUAGGCUCAAGCAACUGUUUAGCAAAAACACAGGUCUAUGCGAAACCGAAAGGUGAGGUAUAUGGGCUGACGCCUGCCCGGUGCUGGGAGGUUAAGAGGAGAGGUUAGCGCAAGCGAAGCUUUGAAUUUAAGCCCCAGUAAACGGCGGCCGUAACAAUAACGGUCCUAAGGUAGCGAAAUUCCUUGUCGGGUAAGUUCCGACCCGCACGAAAGGCGUAAUGAUUUGAGCGCUGUCUCGACAAUGCAUCCGGUGAAAUUGAAGUACCAGUGAAGAUGCUGGUUACCUGCGCCAGGACGGAAAGACCCCAUGGAGCUUUACUCCAGUCUGGUACUGGGACUCGGUAUUGCAUGUACAGGAUAGGUGGGAGGCUAGGAGAUGGUAACGCCAGUUGCCAUGGAGCCGCUGUUGGGAUACCACCCUUGCAGUAUUGGGUUUCUAACCAGCCGCCGUGACCCGGCGGUGGGACAAUGCCAGACGGGGAGUUUGACUGGGGCGGUCGCCUCCGAAAGGGUAUCGGAGGCGCCCAAAGGUUCCCUCAGAAUGGACGGAAACCAUUCGAAGAGUGCAAAGGCAGAAGGGAGCUUGACUGCGACACCGACGGGUGGAGCAGGUACGAAAGUAGGGCUUAGUGAUCCGGUGGUAUUAAGUGGGAAUGCCAUCGCUCAACGGAUAAAAGCUACCCUGGGAUAACAGGCUUAUCACUCCCAAGAGUUCACAUCGACGGAGUGGUUUGGCACCUCGAUGUCGGCUCAUCGCAUCCUGGGGCUGUAGUAGGUCCCAAGGGUUGGGCUGUUCGCCCAUUAAAGCGGUACGCGAGCUGGGUUCAGAACGUCGUGAGACAGUUCGGUCCCUAUCCGGCGUGGGCGUAGGAUAUCUGAGAGGAGCUGUCCUUAGUACGAGAGGACCGGGAUGGACGGGCCGCUGGUGCAUCGGUUAGACUGCCAAGUCUACGGCCGAGUAGCCAAGCCCGGAAGGGAUAAACGCUGAAGGCAUCUAAGCGUGAAGCCCCCCUUAAGAUGAGAUAUCCCAUUCAUAAA
rnacentral:rRNA from 1 species